UACGUAGGGACCAAGCGUUGUUCGGAUUUACUGGGCGUAAAGGGCGCGUAGGCGGCGUGUUAAGUCAGCUGUGAAAUCUCCGAGCUUAACUCGGAACGGUCAGCUGAUACUGAUGUGCUAGAGUGCAGAAGGGGCAAUCGGAAUUCUUGGUGUAGCGGUGAAAUGCGUAGAUAUCAAGAGGAACACCUGAGGUGAAGACGGGUUGCUGGGCUGAUACUGACGCUGAGGCGCGAAAGCUAGGGUAGCAAACGGG
rnacentral:rRNA from 1 species